GAUGAACGCUGGCGGCGUGCCUAAUACAUGCAAGUCGAGCGAACAGAUAAGGAUCUUGCUCCUUUGACGUUAGCGGCGGACGGGUGAGUAACACGUGGGUAACCUACCUAUAAGACUGGAAUAACUCCGGGAAACCGGGGCUAAUGCCGGAUAACCUUUAGAACCGCAUGGUUCUAAAGUGAAAGAUGGUUUUGCUAUCACUUAUAGAUGGACCCGCGCCGUAUUAGCUAGUUGGUAAGGUAACGGCUUACCAAGGCAACGAUACGUAGCCGAACUGAGAGGGUGAUCGGCCACACUGGAACGGGGACACGGUCCAGACGCCUACGGGAGGGAGCAGUAGGGAAUCGUCCGCAAGGGGCGAAAGCCUGACGGAACAACGCCGCGUGAGGAAUGAAGGUCGUCGGAUCGUAGAACUCUGUUAUUAGGGAAGAACAAAUGUGUAAGUAUCUGGACACGUCUUGACGGUACCUAAUCAGAAAGCCACGGCUAACUACGUG
rnacentral:rRNA from 1 species